UGUGUGUGUGUGUGUGUGUGUGUGUGUGUGUGUGAGUGUGUGUAGGUGUGUGUGAGUGUGUGUGUGUGACAACGAAGCCAAACGCUGUGUCACAACAGAACCACAAGCCGGCGAUUAGCACAGAAGAACACACACACACAAACACACACACACACACAAA
rnacentral:miRNA from 14 species